rnacentral:rRNA from 1 species
CCUACGGGAGGCAGCAGUGGGGAAUCUUGCGCAAUGGGCGAAAGCCUGACGCAGAGACGCCGCGUGGGGAUGGAAGCUUCUCGGAGUGUAAACCCCUUUCGACCGGGACGAAUGCCCGCGAGGGAGUGACGGUACCGGUAGAAGAAUCCCCGGCUAACUACGUGCCAGCAGCCGCGGUAAU